UACGAAGGGUACAAGCGUUAUUCGGAGUUACUGGGCGUAAAGAGCGUGUAGGCGGUUGGUUAAGUUAGUUGUUAAAUUCCCCGGCCUAACUGGGGACAAGCAACUGAAACUGGUCGACUAGAGUGCAAGAGAGAGAAGUAGAAUUCCCGGAGUAGCGGUAAAAUGCGUAGAUCUCGGGAGGAAUACCGAUGGCGAAGGCAGCUUCUUGGCUUGUAACUGACGCUAAAGCGCGAAAGCGUGGGGAGCAAACAGGAUUAGAUACCCUGGUAGUCCACGCCGUAAACGAUGAUCACUGGACGUGGGCCUGACGUAGUUAGGUCUGUGUCGAAGCUAACGCGUUAAGUGAUCCGCCUGGGCAAUACAGUCGCAAGAUUAAA
rnacentral:rRNA from 1 species